UCUAUUAAAGAGAGAAAAUGAAAUGGGGGUUAUCUUUGUUAGAGAUAGAAAAUGAAAUGGGGGUUUUCCCUUUUAGAGAGAGAAAAUGAAAUGGGGGAUACACAAAUUGCUUUGCAGGAGAAGGAAGACUGUGGUUCAAUGGGGUUUUCUUUCUAAUUUGCAAGAGCAAGUAGAUUGUGGUUCAGUGGAGUUUUUCUUUAUAUUCUGCAGGAGCAAGAAGAUUGUGGUUCAAUAGGGUUUUUUCUGUAAUUUGUAAGACCCUAAAAUCACUCUGGAGUCUGGAUUGCAAGAAGA
rnacentral:lncRNA from 1 species